rnacentral:rRNA from 1 species
GGAAACGCCCGGUUCCAUUCCGAACCCGGUAGCUAAGCUCGACUGCGCCGAUGGUACUGCACUCGGGAGGGUGUGGGAGAGUAGGUCGCCGCCGG